rnacentral:rRNA from 1 species
GUAGGGUGGCAAACGGGUGAGUAAUACAUGGGUGAUCUACCUUAGGGAUGGGGAUAUCCUUCCGAAAGGAGGGGCAAUACCGAAUAUUGUCCGGGACCAUGAAGGGUUCCGGGGAAAGGGAGGCCUCUGAUACAAGCUUUCGCCUUAAUAUGAGCCCAUGGCCCAUCAGCUAUUUGGUAGGGUAAAGGCCUACCAAGGCUACGACGGGUCGCUGGUCUGAUAGGACUACCAGCCACACUGGCACUGAGAUACAGGCCAGACUCCUACGGUAGGCAGCAUUGAGGAAUAUUGCGCAAUGGGGGAAACCCUGACGCAGCAACGCCGCGUGUGGGAAGAAGGCCUUCGGGUCGUAAACCACUUUUACUCGGGACGAAAAAUGGAUGUCAAAUAAACAUCCCCGAUGACGGUACCGUGAGAAUAAGCCACGGCUAACUCUGUGCCAGCAGCCGCGGUAAGACAGAGGUGGCAAGCGUUGUUCGGAAUUACUGGGCGUAAAGAGUCUGUAGGUGGUUUGUCAAGUCUUUGGUGAAAGGCCGUAGCUUAACUAUGGGAAUGCCAAAGAUACUGGCAGGCUGGAGGCUGGGAGAGGGAAGCGGAAUUUCUGGUGUAGCGGUGAAAUGCGUAGAUAUCAGAA